AGAGACAGCAGUCGCCACGGUAAAACGGAGGGUGCAAGCGUUAAUCGGAAUUACUGGGCGUAAAGCGCACGCAGGCGGUCUGUCAAGUCAGAUGUGAAAUCCCCGGGCUUAACCUGGGAACUGCAUUUGAAACUGGCAGGCUAGAGUCUUGUAGAGGGGGGUAGAAUUCCAGGUGUAGCGGUGAAAUGCGUAGAGAUCUGGAGGAAUACCGGUGGCGAAGGCGGCCCCCUGGACAAAGACUGACGCUCAGGUGCGAAAGCGUGGGGAGCAAACAGGAUUAGAUACCCCUGUAGUCCCUGUCUCUUAUAA
rnacentral:rRNA from 1 species